UAAAGUGCAUACAAGCAUAUUCAUUGGCACGGAUUCUUGGCAUUUCAGAUCCAUAAGGGUCCUGAGACAUGAAGCUGGUCCUCACAACUCUGCACAGACUAGGAGGCCCAAAGAAGAGAAACAUUCACUACACCAAGUUGCCUGCAUUUGCUCCUGGGUUCAAGCCACCAACUUCUGUCAUUUUAGUAGAAAACAAGCAUAACAACACCAUUUACUGACAGGACUAUUACCAUGUUUGGAGUCUUCAGCACCCUAGCCAGCUCAAGUGUUACAUGCUAUCUGCUAACUCUAAGUUUUGUGAGAGGAACCCUCAGGAGUGCCACUUGGAGA
rnacentral:lncRNA from 1 species